rnacentral:rRNA from 1 species
AACGAACGCUGGCGGCAGGCCUAACACAUGCAAGUCGAACGAGGUAGCAAUACCUAGUGGCGCACGGGUGAGUAACGCGUGGAUAAUCUGCCUUAGAGUGGGGGAUAACUAGUCGAAAGAUUAGCUAAUACCGCAUAAGACCACAGGAGCUGCGGCUCUCGAGGUCAAAGGUUUUUCGCUCUAAGAUGAGUCCGCGUAAGAUUAGCUAGUUGGUGAGGUAAUGGCUCACCAAGGCGACGAUCUUUAACUGGUCUGAGAGGAUGAUCAGUCACACUGGAACUGAGACACGGUCCAGACUCCUACGGGAGGCAGCAGUAGGGAAUAUUGCACAAUGGAGGAAACUCUGAUGCAGCGACGCCGCGUGAGUGAUGAAGGCCUUCGGGUCGUAAAGCUCUGUCGCAGGGGAAUAACACAAUGAAUGUACCCUGUAAGAAAGGAUCGGCUAACUUCGUGCCAGCAGCCGCUGUAACAC